rnacentral:rRNA from 1 species
GACGAACGCUGGCGGCGUGCUUAACACAUGCAAGUCGAACGGAAAGGCCCUGCUUUUGUGGGGUGCUCGAGGGGCGAACGGGUGAGUAACACGUGAGUAACCUGCCCUUGACUUUGGGAUAACUUCAGGAAACGGGGGCUAAUACCGGAUAGGAGCUCCUGCUGCAUGGUGGGGGGUGGAAAGUUGCGGCGGGUGGGGAUGGACUCGCGGCUUAUCAGCUUGUUGGUGGGGUAGUGGCUUACCAAGGCUUUGACGGGUAGCCGGCCUGAGAGGGUGACCGGCCACAUUGGGACUGCGAUACGGCCCAGACUCCUACGGGAGGCAGCAGUGGGGAAUAUUGCACAAUGGGCGGAAGCCUGAUGCAGCAACGCCGCGUGCGGGAUGACGGCCUUCGGGUUGUAAACCGCUUUCGCCUGUGACGCAGCGUGAGUGACGGUAAUGGGUAAAGAAGCACCGGCUAACUACGUG